rnacentral:rRNA from 1 species
ACAUGCCUACAACAUAACGUUAAUGCAUUGGAUCCCAUUAGAACUCCAUAGUUAAGCGCACUCGGGCUAGAGUAGUACUCAUAUGGGUGAUCACUCGAGAAGUCCUAUUGUUUUACAUGCC